CUCCAGAGAUUGAAUAGUUUAUACUAGGAAGCACGGACACUCUCCUGAGCCCUUCCGUGUCGCGACACGCAGUGAGUUCCGGCAUGCACGUGUCACAGGGUAGAGGUAGCGGGGGUUGGUGUUCUUGAGGGAGGCAGAGAAGCGGGAGGUGGAGGACUCGUGUGGGCGCCGCGCCCAGCGAUGAGUUCUGAGUUCCCACCCAACGCCUCCGCCGCUGCAGAUCCGAUCUGGC
rnacentral:lncRNA from 1 species